rnacentral:rRNA from 1 species
GACGAACGCUGGAGGCGUGCUUAACACAUGCAAGUCGAACGAUGAAAUGGAGCUUGCUCCAUGGAUUAGUGGCGAACGGGUGAGUAACACGUGAAUAACCUGCCCUUAAUUUUGGAAUAACCCAGGGAAACCUGGGCUAAUACCGGAUAAGUAAACCUGUGGCAUCACAUGGUUUUGGAAAGUUUUUCGAUUAAGGAUGGAUUCGCGGCCUAUCAGCUUGUUGGUGAGGUAAUGGCUCACCAAGGCGACGACGGGUAGCCGGCCUGAGAGGGGGAACGGCCACCCGGGGACUGAGACACGGCCCAGACUCCUACGGGAGGCAGCAGUGGGGAAUAUUGCGCAAUGGACGAAAGUCUGACGCAGCGACGCCUCGUGAGGGACGAAGGUCUUCGGAUUGUAAACCUCUUUCAGCAGGGACGAAGCGAAAGUGACGGUACCUGCAGAAGAAGCACCGGCUAACUAUGUGCCAGCAGCCGCAGUAA